rnacentral:lncRNA from 1 species
AUGGGAGCAGCUUCCUCCGACACCACGGCGGCCAGUUUGUUGUUCGUUUUGUUGGUUGGCUGUGGUAAUCGAUGGUUCUGUCAUUCGGCUAUGAUUAUCUCAAAAGUCUUUUUCCAGUUGAUUUUGGCAUGGCAAUGAAUUGAAUGCUUCGUACCAAUGCCAAACACAGCUGGACAUAUACUCUCCUGGGCGGGCACAGAGGUUAGCGGCUGCUAUCGGGAUUUCAGAAGGGAUUCAGCCCAAACAACCUUAAAAUAAAUAACUGAUGCUUUGUUGGAUCAAAGUUUUAGGGUGAAGAUCAGUGGCUACAUUCUUCCUUUGCAAGCAGAAUCUAAGGUAGCUGGACAUUCGAUCACCAAAUCAAGUGAAACUCUUAGCAAAAGGUUUGACAUUCAGGAUAAUGAUCAUGACCAUGUAUAUGACUUGGGAGCUAUCAUGCUAGAAUCGCUCUUGACCACAUUUCGAAAGCCCUAAUGGCUUUCGCGCAACGCGUGCGUAUUGAAAAAUACUAGUUGCAUACAAAGGGUAGCUUGUAAACAAGAUUUUAAUAAAGAAACAAUGA